rnacentral:rRNA from 1 species
CACUGCCGAGAAAAGCCUCUAGAUAGAAAAUAGGUGCCCGUACCGCAAACCGACACAGGUAGUCAAGAUGAGAAUUCUAAGGUGAGCGAGCGAACUCUCGUUAAGGAACUCGGCAAAAUGACCCCGUAACUUCGGGAGAAGGGGUGCUCUUUAGGGUUAACGCCCAGAAGAGCCGCAGUGAAUAGGCCCAAGCGACUGUUUAUCAAAAACACAGGUCUCUGCUAAACCGUAAGGUGAUGUAUAGGGGCUGACGCCUGCCCGGUGCUGGAAGGUUAAGAGGAGUGGUUAGCUUCUGCGAAGCUACGAAUCGAAGCCCCAGUAAACGGCGGCCGUAACUAUAACGGUCCUAAGGUAGCGAAAUUCCUUGUCGGGUAAGUUCCGACCCGCACGAAAGGCGUAACGAUUUGGGCACUGUCUCAACGAGAGACUCGGUGAAAUCAUAGUACCUGUGAAGAUGCAGGUUACCCGCGACAGGACGGAAAGACCCCGUGGAGCUUUACUGUAGCCUGAUAUUGAAAUUCGGCAUAGCUUGUACAGGAUAGGU